rnacentral:rRNA from 1 species
UACGAGGGGGGCGAGCGUUGUUCGGAAUUAUUGGGCGUAAAGGGUGCGUAGGCGGUUUGGUAAGUCUUAUGUGAAAUCUAUGGGCUCAACUCAUAGUCUGCAUGAGAAACUGCCGGGCUUGAGUAUGGGAGAGGUGAGUGGAAUUCCUGGUGUAGCGGUGAAAUGCGUAGAUAUCAGGAGGAACACCAAUGGCGAAGGCAGCUCGCUGGGACGUGACUGACGCUGAGACGCGAAAGCGUGGGGAGCAAACAGG